rnacentral:rRNA from 1 species
UGGGGAAUAUUGCACAAUGGGCGCAAGCCUGAUGCAGCCAUGCCGCGUGUAUGAAGAAGGCCUUCGGGUUGUAAAGUACUUUCAGUCGGGAGGAAGGUGGUAAGGUUAAUAACCUUAUCAAUUGACGUUACCGACAGAAGAAGCACCGGCUAACUCCGUGCCAGCAGCCGCGGUAAUACGGAGGGUGCAAGCGUUAAUCGGAAUUACUGGGCGUAAAGCGCACGCAGGCGGUCUGUCAAGUCGGAUGUGAAAUCCCCGGGCUCAACCUGGGAACUGCAUUCGAAACUGGCAGGCUAGAGUCUUGUAGAGGGGGGGAGAAUUCCAGGUGUAGCGGUGAAAUGCGUAGAGAUCUGGAGGAAUACCGGUGGCGAAGGCGGCCCCCUGGACAAAGACUGACGCUCAGGUGCGAAAGCGUGGGGAGCAAACAGG